GGGUUGUGAGGUUAAGCGACUAAGCGUACACGGUGGAUGCCCUGGCAGUCAGAGGCGAUGAAGGGCGUGCUAAUCUGCGAUAAGCGCCGGUAAGGUGAUAUGAACCGUUAUAACCGGCGAUACCCGAAUGGGGAAACCCAGUGUGACUCGUCACACUAUCAUUAACUGAAUCCAUAGGUUAAUGAGGCGAACCGGGGGAACUGAAACAUCUAAGUACCCCGAGGAAAAGAAAUCAACCGAGAUUCCCCCAGUAGCGGCGAGCGAACGGGGAGGAGCCCAGAGCCUGAAUCAGCAUGUGUGUUAGUGGAAGCGUCUGGAAAGGCGCGCGAUACAGGGUGACAGCCCCGUACACAAAAGCGCAUGUGCUGUGAGCUCGAUGAGUAGGGCGGGACACGUGGUAUCCUGUCUGAAUAUGGGGGGACCAUCCUCCAAGGCUAAAUACUCCUGACUGACCGAUAGUGAACCAGUACCGUGAGGGAAAGGCGAAAAGAACCCCGGCGAGGGGAGUGAAAAAGAACCUGAAACCGUGUACGUACAAGCAGUGGGAGCACCUUCGGGUGUGACUGCGUACCUUUUGUAUAAUGGGUCAGCGACUUAUAUUCUGUAGCAAGGUUAACCGUAUAGGGGAGCCGGAGGGAAACCGAGUCUUAACCGGGCGUUAAGUUGCAGGGUAUAGACCCGAAACCCGGUGAUCUAGCCAUGGGCAGGUUGAAGGUUGGGUAACACUAACUGGAGGACCGAACCGACUAAUGUUGAAAAAUUAGCGGAUGACCUGUGGCUGGGGGUGAAAGGCCAAUCAAACCGGGAGAUAGCUGGUUCUCCCCGAAAGCUAUUUAGGUAGCGCCUCGUGAAUUCAUCUCCGGGGGUAGAGCACUGUUUCGGCUAGGGGGCCAUCCCGGCUUACCAACCCGAUGCAAACUGCGAAUACCGGAGAAUGUUAUCACGGGAGACACACGGCGGGUGCUAACGUCCGUCGUGAAGAGGGAAACAACCCAGACCGCCAGCUAAGGUCCCAAAGUCAUGGUUAAGUGGGAAACGAUGUGGGAAGGCCCAGACAGCCAGGAUGUUGGCUUAGAAGCAGCCAUCAUUUAAAGAAAGCGUAAUAGCUCACUGGUCGAGUCGGCCUGCGCGGAAGAUGUAACGGGGCUAAACCAUGCACCGAAGCUGCGGCAGCGACGCUUAUGCGUUGUUGGGUAGGGGAGCGUUCUGUAAGCCUGCGAAGGUGGGUCGUGAGGGUUGCUGGAGGUAUCAGAAGUGCGAAUGCUGACAUAAGUAACGAUAAAGCGGGUGAAAAGCCCGCUCGCCGGAAGACCAAGGGUUCCUGUCCAACGUUAAUCGGGGCAGGGUGAGUCGACCCCUAAGGCGAGGCCGAAAGGCGUAGUCGAUGGGAAACGGGUUAAUAUUCCCGUACUUGGUGUUACUGCGAAGGGGGGACGGAGAAGGCUAUGUUGGCCGGGCGACGGUUGUCCCGGUUUAAGCGUGUAGGUGUGUGUUCCAGGUAAAUCCGGUUCACUUUAACACUGAGGCGUGAUGACGAGGCACUACGGUGCUGAAGCAACAAAUGCCCUGCUUCCAGGAAAAGCCUCUAAGCAUCAGGUAACAUCAAAUCGUACCCCAAACCGACACAGGUGGUCAGGUAGAGAAUACCAAGGCGCUUGAGAGAACUCGGGUGAAGGAACUAGGCAAAAUGGUGCCGUAACUUCGGGAGAAGGCACGCUGACACGUAGGUGAAGUGAUUUACUCAUGGAGCUGAAGUCAGUCGAAGAUACCAGCUGGCUGCAACUGUUUAUUAAAAACACAGCACUGUGCAAACACGAAAGUGGACGUAUACGGUGUGACGCCUGCCCGGUGCCGGAAGGUUAAUUGAUGGGGUCAGCGCAAGCGAAGCUCCUGAUCGAAGCCCCGGUAAACGGCGGCCGUAACUAUAACGGUCCUAAGGUAGCGAAAUUCCUUGUCGGGUAAGUUCCGACCUGCACGAAUGGCGUAAUGAUGGCCAGGCUGUCUCCACCCGAGACUCAGUGAAAUUGAACUCGCUGUGAAGAUGCAGUGUACCCGCGGCAAGACGGAAAGACCCCGUGAACCUUUACUAUAGCUUGACACUGAACAUUGAGCCUUGAUGUGUAGGAUAGGUGGGAGGCUUUGAAGUGUGGACGCCAGUCUGCAUGGAGCCGACCUUGAAAUACCACCCUUUAAUGUUUGAUGUUCUAACGUGGACCCGUAAUCCGGGUUGCGGACAGUGUCUGGUGGGUAGUUUGACUGGGGCGGUCUCCUCCUAAAGAGUAACGGAGGAGCACGAAGGUUGGCUAAUCCUGGUCGGACAUCAGGAGGUUAGUGCAAUGGCAUAAGC
rnacentral:rRNA from 1 species